rnacentral:miRNA from 1 species
ACAAACACCAGCUUACCCCGGA